ensembl:lncRNA
UCAUGUUUUCACAUAGAAUUUUAUUACUGUGAUCCACUUUUGCGAUAAAAUAUAGUGCACCAGAUAUGCAUUUUUGUACAAGAUUUUUAAUAGCACAAAUUGGCAAAGCCACAACAAUAAUCGGAAACACAGUUAAUCUCCACAAACAUAGUAAGUCAUGAGAAAGACUAAGAGAGGGAAGGCUGGGGGGAGGUGAGGUGUGGAGGGAGGGAAGGCUGGCGGGAGGUGGGGUGUGGAGGGAGGGAAGGCUGGGGGAGGUGGGGUGUGGAGGGAGGGAAGGCUGGGGGGAGGUGGGGUGUGGAGGGGGAAGGCUGGGGAGAGGUGGGGUGUGGAGGGAGGGAAGGCUGGGGGAGGUGGGGUGUGGAGGGAGGGAAGGAAGGCUGGGGGAGGAGGGGUUUCAGAGGGAGGGAAGGUUGGGGGAGGCGGGGUUUCAGAGGGAGGGAAGGCUUGGGGAGGAGGGGUUUCAGAGGGAGGGAAGGUUGGGGGAGGCGGGGUUUCAGAGGGAGGGAAGGUUGGGGGAGGCGGGGUUUCAGAGGGAGGGAAGGUUGGGGGAGGCGGGGUGUGGAGGGAAGGAAGGCUUGGGGAGGAGGGGUUUCAGAGGGAGGGAAAGUUGGGGGAGGCGGGGUGUGGAGGGAAGGAAGGCUUGGGGAGGAGGGGUUUCAGAGGGAGGGAAAGUUGGGGGAGGCGGGGUGUGGAGGGAAGGAAGGCUUGGGGAGGAGGGGUUUCAGAGGGAGGGAAGGUUGGGGGAGGCGGGGUGUGGAGGGAGGGAAGGUUGGGGGGAGGCGGGGUGUGGAGUUGUCAGUUUCACAUCCAGUAUACAGUGUCUUUUUCAUGGGCAGUACUGUACCUUAACCCACUGGCAAAGCAGAAGUGGGAGAGAAGUAUAUCUGAAGAACGACUAUCCGAAACAAGACACAGUAGCAAAGCUAGGAUAUGUUAUUAGAGAUGCUGUAGCCAUGGUAGCGAGCCAAGAAGAGUUGCCAAAGCAACACAAUCAGGAUGAGUUAGUGAUAACAUAUAUCCAUUCCCAUCAGUUCUGCAGACUUAAGACUGAACCUUUCCUAUCGAUCACAGAGAAAUUCACAAAGAGAGAGAGAGAGAGUCAUCUCAUUAGCAACCAUACUUCAAAUAACAAGUACCAUGGUAAGUGUACCGUUGUCUUGACGAUUGACAGGCAAUGCCGCGAUAAAGGUAUUCAACGUGUUGGGUCAGGCGUGACCCUUGUGCAUACCUCUUCCUGUCUCUACUGUGCAAAACAGAGAGGAUAAAUCAGAGGAACCUAUCUCUACUGUACAAAACAGAGAGGAUAAAUCAGAGGAACCUAUCUCUACUGUACAAAACAGAGAGGAUAAAUCGGGAAAGGAGCCUAACAUCUGCAGCACAACAAUUAAAAUGCACAUUUUGAAUGAAAUCACAACAUUUCUUGCCGGACUAUAUUAGAAAAAUAAAUAAUAUUAUAGCACUACUGAGCUGCAUUAUUUCUUAUUAGAGGGCUAUAAACCUUUACAUUUGACACAUUAACGCAUCACUAUAACCAAUUCUUGUCACCGUAGAAACGUAGCCAUGUCUGACGCCUGGUGUUGUGGUAUUCCACGAAUACAACAGGGAAAGAUUACUUUGUGUUGUGACACUUCUUAUUUGGUCUAUUCUAUUCUUCACUUUCCAAACAACUCAAGUCAAAUAAUGAUAUCAGAACACUUUGAUUGAAGCUACAUUUUUUAUACACUGUUUAUAAGCAUUAGGUUAUUCAUCUCUCUCUCUCUCUGUCUCCCCAUCUCUGUCUCCCCAUCUCUGUCUCUCUCUUUCUCUCUCUGUCUCCCCAUCUCUGUCUCUCCAUCUGUCUUUCUCUCUCUCUCUCUCUCCAUCUCUGUCUCUCCAUCUGUCUCUCUCUCUCUCUCUCUCUCUCUCUCUCUCUCUCUCUCUCUCUCUCUCUCUCUCUCUCUCCCUCUCUCCAUCUCUGUCUCUCCAUCUGUCUCCCUCUCCAACUCUCCCUCUCUACUGUGGCAGGUAGUGUAGAAUGUGUUGGAUUAGCAGCUCGGGGUCAUAGGUUAUGGGGUCGUAGUUCAGGGCUCGUCUUCUGCGGCUGGGUCUCCCACCAGGCUGGGGCUGCAGUUCGUUGUCGAUCCUCUUCAUUCUCUGAAGCUCCACCAUGUGGUCGGGGGUCCUGUGGCCCUCCCUCUCUCCCCCCGGCCCACCAGGCCCCUCUACCACCACCCCUUCCAUGUCCCCCAGCCUCUUGACUCUCAGCAGCCCCACAGAGUGCUCCCGGUUUAAGGAAGGGGAGGGAGGGGAGUCGAGGGAGCGACGGGACCUGUGGAGAACUGGGCUGGAGGAAGCUCUGACCCUUCCACCACCUCCAGACACAGACACCAGGUCUCUCCUUGCCCUGCGGCCUGAUGAACCCUGGGGCUUGGUGGGACUGAUGUUGGAAAGGACCUUAGAUACCAGGUAUCUAGAGCAGGGAGCAUGAAGAACACAUGAACAACGUUUUACAUUUUACAACGGAAACAUUAUACCCUGCUAGCUACUGUAUAUUCACUAACUACACAAUGUAGUUUUUUUUCUUUACGCCCUCUCUCUCUCUCUCAUCUCUUUCUCUCUCUCUCUGCCCCUGUCUCUCUCUCCUCUCUUCCUCUCUCUCUCUGCCCCCCUCUCUCUCUCCUCUCUUCCUCUCUCUCUCUGCCCCUGUCUCUCUCUCCUCUCUUCCUCUCUCUCUCUCUGCCCCUGUCUCUCUCUCUCCUCUCUUCCUCUCUCUCUCUGCCCCUGUCUCUCUCUCCUCUCUUCCUCUCUCUCUGCCCCUGUCUCUCUCUCCUCUCUUCCUCUCUCUCUCUGCCCGCGUCUCUCUCUCAUCUCUUCCUCUCUCUCUCUGCCCCUGUCUCUCUCUCCUCUCUACCUCUCUCUCUCUGCCCCCGUCUCUCUCUCCUCUCUACCUCUCUCUCUCUGCCCCGUCUCUCUCUCAUCUCUUUCUCUCUCUCUCUCCUCUCUUCCUCUCUCUCUCUGCCCCUGUCUCCCUCUCCUCUCUUCCUCUCUCUCUCAUCUCUUCCUCUCUCUCUCUGCCCCCUCUCUCUCUCUCAUCUCUUCCUCUCUCUCUGCCCCCUCUCUCUCUCUCAUCUCUUCCUCUCUCUCUCUGCCCCCCUCUCUCUCUCUCCUCUUUCUCUCUCUCUCUGCCCCCUCUCUCUCAUCUCUUCCUCUCUCUCUCUGCCCCCCCUCUCUCUCAUCUCUUCCUCUCUCUCUCUGCCCC